GCAAGUCGAGCGCACCCCUUCGGGGGCGAGCGGCGGACGGGUUAGUAACGCGUGGGAACAUACCCAAUGGUACGGAAUAGCCUCGGGAAACUGAGAGUAAUACCGUAUACGCCCUUCGGGGGAAAGAUUUAUCGGUUAAGGAUUGGCCCGCGUUAGAUUAGAUAGUUGGUGGGGUAACGGCCUACCAAGUCUACGAUCUAUAGCUGGUUUGAGAGGAUGAUC
rnacentral:rRNA from 1 species